rnacentral:tRNA from 1 species
UGUAAAGUAAGCUAACCAAGCUUUUGGGCUCAUGCCCCAAAAAUGGGAGGCUAGACCCUCCCCUCUACUU